CCAGCCGCUGAAAUAAGGGCUGGUAUCGCCGGGAGCGCCGCUUUUGGCAUUCCCGUACCAUGUUGCUUCAAGGAGGAUAUGGCU
rnacentral:sRNA from 2 species